UACGUAGGGUGCAAGCGUUGUCCGGAAUUAUUGGGCGUAAAGAGCUCGUAGGCGGUCUGUCGCGUCGGCUGUGAAAUCUCGGGGCUCAACCCCCGAGCCUGCAGUCGAUACGGGCAGACUAGAGUGCUGUAGGGGAGACUGGAAUUCCUGGUGUAGCGGUGAAAUGCGCAGAUAUCAGGAGGAACACCGAUGGCGAAGGCAGGUCUCUGGGCAUUAACUGACGCU
rnacentral:rRNA from 1 species